ACGUUUUUAGUUUAAUGGUAAAAUAAAGGUCUCCAAAACCUAAGAUGAAAGUUCAAUUCUUUCAAAACGUG
rfam:Eimeria tenella Houghton genomic scaffold, Eth_scaff216